rnacentral:rRNA from 1 species
UACGAAGGGGGCUAGCGUUGUUCGGAAUCACUGGGCGUAAAGGGCGCGUAGGCGGCUUUAUAAGUCGGGGGUGAAAGCCUGUGGCUCAACCACAGAAUUGCCUUCGAUACUGUAGAGCUUGAGACCGGAAGAGGUAAGUGGAACUGCGAGUGUAGAGGUGAAAUUCGUAGAUAUUCGGAAGAACACCAGUGGCGAAGGCGGCUCACUGGUCCGGUACUGACGCUGAGGUGCGAAAAGCGUGGGAGCAAACAGGG